rnacentral:rRNA from 1 species
UUCUAAGGAAAAAAGCCGGGGGAAAAUGGGGGUCUUUUUUUUGAAAGGGGCCGCUUUCCCCGCCGUGUGGGGGGGGUGUGGGAGAAAAAAUUUUUGGGCCAAGGGAAGGGCCUCCGGGGCCUUAAACCUUUUUGGGAGGGUAAAUGGGCCCACCAAAGGGGCGAGCGGGGUUGGCCGGGCCGUGGAAAGGGGGACCGGCCAAACCUGGGGAUUGAGAACACGGCCCAGACUUCUUACGGGAGGCAGCAAGUGGGGAAUAUUUGCCCCAAUGGGCGAAACCCUGAUGGCAGGGGCCCCCCUUGAAGGAAUGACGGGCCUUCGGGUUGGUAAACCUCUUUCCAGUAGGGAAGAAGCGAAAAGUGAGGGUACCUGCAGAAGAAGCUCCGGCUUAACUACGUGGCAGCAGCCGCGGUAAUACGUAGGGUGCGAGCGUUAUCCGGCAUUUAUUGGGCGUAAAGAGCUCGUAGGCGGUUUUGUCGCGUUUGUCGUGAAAGUCGGGGGCUUAACCCCGGAUCUGCGGUGGGUACGGGCAGACUAGAGUGCAGUAGGGGAGACUGGAAUUCCUGGUGUAGCGGUGGAAUGCGCAGAUAUCAGGAGGAACACCGAUGGCGAAAGGCAGGUCUCUGGGCUGUAACUGGCGCUGAGGAGCGAAAGCAUGGGGAGCGAACAGGAUUAGAUACCCUGGUAGUCCAUGCCGUAAACGUUGGGCACUAGGUGUGGGGAACAUUCCACGUUUUUCCGCGCCGGCACUAACGCAUUAAGUGCCCGCCUGGGGAGUACGGCCGCAAGGCUAAAACUCAAAGGAAUUGACGGGGGUCCGCACAAGCGGCGGAGCAUGCGGAUUAAUUCGAUGCAACGCGUAGAACCUUACCAAGGCUUGACAUGUUCUCGAUCGCCGUAGAGAUACGGUCUCCCCUUUGGGGCGGGUUCACAGGUGGUGCAUGGUUGUCGUCAGCUCGUGUCGUGAGAUGUUGGGUUAAGUCCCGCAACGAGCGCAACCCUCGUUCCAUGUUGCCAGCACUUCGGGUGGGGACUCAUGGGAGACUGCCGGGGUCAACUCGGAGGAAGGUGGGGACGACGUCAAAUCAUCAUGCCCCUUAUGUCUUGGACUUCACGCAUGCUACAAUGGCCGGUACAAUGGUGUUGCUGACUAUCUCGUGCAGCGUAGGUAGGCUUAUAUACCGCAGAAGAAUGCCGGUCUCAUGUUCGGAUUGGGGUCUGCAACUCGACCCCAUGAAGUCGGAGUCGCUAGUAAUCGCAGAUCAGCAACGCUGCGGUGAAUACGUUCCCGGGUCUGGUACACACCGCCCGUCAAGUCACGAAAGUCGGUAACGCACCGAAGUCCGGUGGCCUAACCCUUGUGGAGCGGAAGCCGUCGAAGGUUGGACCAGAUUCCC